rnacentral:rRNA from 1 species
UACGGAGGGUGCAAGCGUUAUCCGGAUUCACUGGGUUUAAAGGGAGCGUAGGUGGCUUUGUAAGUCAGUGGUGAAAUAUUGCGGCUCAACCGCAAAACUGCCAUUGAUACUGCUUAGCUUGAAUCACGUCGAGGUGGAUGGAAUAAUACAUGUAGCGGUGAAAAUGCUUAGAUAUGUAUUAGAACACCGAUUGCGAAGGCAGUUCACUAGGCGUGUAUUGACACUGAGGCUCGAAAGCGUGGAGAUCAAACAGGA